rnacentral:sRNA from 1 species
AACGGCCGAAUUAGGCGGCGUGGAGAUGCGGCCGCCACUGAGCUUGGGCCGCUGGCAAGCGGUGCUUUCCCGGACCUACGGCCCCCGGCCUUCGGCGGGUUACCGCUGGGUCUCGGGCGCACAGGGUUACGUGCGGAAUCCCCCAGUUGGAGCGUGCGAUCUGCAGGGCGAGCUGGACAGAUUCGGGGGCAUCUCCGUGCGCCUGGCGCGGCUCGACGCGCUGGACCGCCUGGACGCUGCCGCCUUCCAGAAGGGAUUGCAGGGCAAGUGCGCCUGGGACGAAGGGCUCCCGGGGCUCCAGAGCUUUUCUAAUGAAAUAACCGCGGCCCCCACUCCCGAGUCGCUCUGUGCACCACUGUCGAGCCCAGAGGGAAAGGGAGAAGGCACGCGAGACCCGGACCUGUUUUCUGGAGCAUUCGUGCUUAGACCUUUUGCUGGGAGGUCUCUAAGGCGGUUGGGUGAAAUGGUGAAGAUCCCGGACUCUGGGAUCUGCAACCCUGGUUGCUGGUCCGCUUUCUAGUGUGCGACAUUCGGAAAUUGCCGUAAACCACCGUUUCCUCUUCCAUAGACCCCGGUAAUAGGAACUCCUGGAAUUACUGAGAGUUAAUUUGGGUAAUGCAUAUAAAGUGCACAGCACAGUGCCUGCCACGUAUUUAAAGCUCAGUAGAUGUUUGUUAAUAUUAUAUUAUUACAUUAUUACUAUCCUUUACCGAGCCUUGGUUCUGUCGGACACUUUUCCCAAGGAAAAAAACUCUUACAUUCUAAUACGAGGUGGUGGACUGAGUGGACCAAAGAGGCUUUUUUUAAAAAAUUUUUAAUUUUUGUGGAUCCAUAGUAGGUGUGUAUGUUUAUGGGGUAUAUGAGCUAUUUUGAUAGAGGUAUAAACGUGUAGUAAUUACAUCAGGGUAAAUGAGAUAUCACCACAAGCAUUCAACCACAAUCCAGUUACUCUUAGUUAUUUUUAAAUGUACAAUUUUUUUUUUUUUUGAGACCGAAUAUCAUUCUGUCUCCCAGGCUGGAGUGCAGUGGUGGGAUCAGGGUUCACUGCAGCCUCCAACCCUUGAGCUCAAGCAAUCCUCCCACCUCAGCCUCCUGGGUAGCUAGGACUACAGGCGUGCAUCUGGCUUUUUUCUAUUUUUUCUAGAAACGGUGUCUCACUGUGUUGCCCAGGCUGGUCUCAGUCUCCUGGGCUCAACUGAUUCUCCCGCCUUGGCCCCUCAAAGUGCUGGGAUUACAGGCAGGAGCCACUGCACCCAGCCUGAAUCUUUAUUGAAUAUAGUCACCCUGUUGGGCUAUCAAAUACUAAACCACAGAGGUUCAGAGUGUCACAUUUGUAUACGAAUUGGGUCAACAGCUGUCCCAGCAAGAACUGGAGUUUUUAGAAUAACGCUUCUUUUAUGAUUAACCAGGGAGGGUGGUGGGUGGUUUCAGUCUUCAAUAAGAAAACUUUUUACUGGCUUUGAACCUUGAGCCCAAUGAUAAGAAAGCUUGGAUGGAGGAGCCUUCACUUUGGAAGAAGUCCUUGAUUUAGUGGUGCAGCAGUUUUUCAAACGGCCUCUGAGGGUUUUAUAAUCUAAUUGAAGGCAUAGCAUGCAAAUUCAACUAUGGAAAAAUCUCUCACACUGGAAACUCGAAAUAAUCUUCAUCCUAUUGAAGAAUAUGGCAAGAAGCAUAUCUGUAAAUAUAAUUGAGCUAGUUAUUUCAAUGUUUACUCAUCCUCAUUCCCAGACUUCUUACCUCUUCACAUUAUUUUCUCUCCUACUUGGUAGUAAUUGCUGACAAGCCCGCUUAGACUGCAACAGUGUCACUAAUAGGAGAAUCAAUCGUUUUAUCUUCCAGUGUGUGGGUAGCCACAGGUGUUGCACCCACUGAUACUUAUCAAUGACCAAACAGGUGAUCAAAGCACUACCCCAGUCAGCAUGGCAAAGCAGAAAGCUGUUCGAUUUGGAGGUGCACAUUCUGGGUUUAAGUACCAGGUUCUGCCAUGUGCUUAGCCAGGCAUUAGACAAAUUGCCACUGAAAAUAUUUGCUUCUUACCUUGCUUUUUGUGAAUAAUGCCAGCUCUAAUUACUGGAUAGAUGCGUUGAUCAAAGAUGAGACUAAUUUGUAAACUUAUGUACCAAAUACUUGUUAUUUUUUUUAAUAAAACAAAUUUUGUUGCACUUAAUGGUAGAUGUUUUAGGAUCUUUAUAAAUAGUAAUUAAUCCUCCUAACAACCCUUUGAGGUAGAUAGCAUUAUUAUUCCCAUUUUAAAGAUGACAGUAGUGAGGCACAGAGAGAAAAAGUUACUUGCUCUGGCUCUACACCUGUCUUACUGCACUAUGCUACCUGGAAGAACUCCUGCUGGUUCUGUUGUUAUAAUUGAACAAAACUAACUGAAUGGUAGUGCCUAUAAAGAGUGACUAUUUACACAUGAAGUCCACUAUUCUUAGUCUUUAUGGACUAAGAAGUCCAUAUUCUUAGUGGAAUAAGAAGUCAACUAUUCAUAUUCUUUUAGAACAUGAACUAUUGAUGUUUUGUUACCAACAACUAAAGUUAGAGGGAUAAACAGGCAAUAUGUUGUUAGCUUCACACAUAACAUAUCUGCAUCAGUAAUGAAAUAGCACUGGUUCUGGUCCCUGCUAUGCCACUCACCAGCUAUGUGACUUUAGGCAAGCCAGUCAUUUCAUUAGUACAAAUUGAGCCCCGGUGCAUAAUGUAGGGUUACCCUGGAGGAUUGCAAAUGCAUAGAAUAUUAAAUAGGAUUGGAAAAAAUAGCUAAUGGAAGAGAUAUCAUUAGGUCAUAUGUAAUAAGUCCUAAUAAAUUGUACAGACAUAGUAGUCUUUAAAUUCAUAUAAUGGUGAGCUCAUGAGCAGUGGUUAGGAAAGACUGGUCAAAGACGUGGAAUAUGAGCUGGACUUUGAAGGAUAAAUAUUAGCAAUGGGAAUGGGAGGUGGGGGAAGAAAAAGCAAUAAAGCUUAUUAGGGAAAAGAAGAAAACAAUUUAAAAAUGAUUCUAAGGUUUCAAGCAUUGGUGCCAAAAAUAAAUAAGCUUAUAAAUGAAGCUAGUUUGGGGUGUAAGAUUCAGUUUUGGCCAGGCGCGGUGGGUCACGCCUGUAAUCCCAGCACUUUGGGAGGCCGAGGCGGGCGGAUCACAAGGUCAAGAUAUCAAGACCAUCCUGGCCAAUAUGGUGAAACCCCGUCUCUACUAAAAAUACAAAAAUUAGCUGGGCAUGGUGGCACACACCUGUAAUUCCAGCUACUUGGGAGGCUGAGACAGGAGAAUCGCUUGAACCCAGGAAGCAGAGGUUGCAGUGAGCCGAGAUUGCACCAUUGCACUCCAACCUGGCGACAGAGCAAGACUCCGUCUCAACAACAACAACAACAAAAAAAAAAAGAUUCAGUUUUGAACACGCUUUGUGAAGUUUGAAGUGGUAACCUUCAGGACAGGAAAUGUCUGGGAGCAACUGGAGAACAGAAAGUUUGGUGUUCAGUGAGGUCAGGGCUGGGCAGCCAUCCUCAUGUAGGUGUCAGCUGAAGCAGUGAGAGUGGAUUCUCCAAGACAAAGAGUGUAGAUAUAAAACAGCAAGCAAAUAGUAUUGCUUUUAGAAAGUAGCCUUUUAAUUUGAUUGGAAGGAUUGCCUGGGAAGGAGCACAUGUGAAAUGUAUGGAGUGAUAGAAAUGUUCUAUAAUGUUAAAGUGUAUUAUCGGUAUACACGUAUGUCAAAUCACAUGAAAUGUACACUUAAGAUUUGUACAUUUUACUUUAUGUACUUUACCUCAAUUUUUAAAAGAUGUCAUCAGACAAAGAGAGCAAGGUGAGAAGGACCUGAUCCCGUAACUCCACUGCAUGCUAACUCAAAUCAGGAAGUCUUUAUUAAAGGCCCCGUGUGCCUGUUGCUGUGCUAGGCACACCAACUUUCAAAGAGGUAGAGAACAUUGUCCUUAAAAGAGAGGAGCUUCCUGCAGAGCUAGGGAAAAGAGAAGGGAAAGUUAAUUAACUGUUAGAUAUAUAAUCAACCCCCAAAGACAGACACACACAUGUGUGCAUGCAUGCACACAUGUGUGCACACACACGCUUUAUAGGGUUAUUAUAAAGAUUAAGUGAGAUGAUGGAUGAAGAAAGUGAUCUGAAAAGCUUUUCCAAAAACUCUAAAACUGAAGUAUUUAUUUCUUCACCCAUAAACUUAAGGUAGUAAUACCUUUCAUGGUUGUGUACUUAAUGAGAUAAUAUAUAUAAAGUGCUUGGAACUUAGUAAGUUUCAAAUAGAUAUUAGCAUCUUUUUCCCCUGGCUCAAUCUUAAGUAGUAAAGAGAAUUUAAAGAAGGCAAAGAUAGAAAACCUAUAAUUAUAUUCACCAUGAUAUUAUCUAUAAUAAGGAAAAAUUAGAAUUUUAUUCCUAUAUGCUAGUAAAAUGUGAAGUUUGAUUUCUUCAUAUUUUUUAUUUUCAAAAUUUCUACAACCAGCAUACAUUAUUUAAAAACAAAGUUUAACUACCUUGAAAUUUAUACAUUAAAAACAUUAUAACAGAAAUCCUAAAGGAAGAAAAAAAUAGAGGUCCAUAAUUGUCAUUAAGAUUAAACCUAAGGAUGUUAAAAGGAACAGCAUUAAAAUGGUAUUUGAUUCGGUUUAAAUCCUUUUAUUUGUCCACUCUAAAACUACAGAACAUCUGUUAUGUGCCAAGCAUUGUCUUUGGUGGUAUGGAUAUAAAGGUCAGUAGUGUAAUGACUUUAUUCUGAAGGAAUUCAGUCUGAUGGAAAAAUCAUAUAAACAAGGUGGUUACUAUAAAACAUGGUACUUCCAGUGCCAGCGAUGUGAACAAGACAUUUGGGGACCUCUUUUGCUUAAAGAUGGCUUCCUGGAGGAGGUGAAACCCUGAGGUGAGUUUUAAUUUGUUCCACUCGUCUCUUUGGAAAUUAUUUAGACUUUUUUCUUCUGCAUUUAGCUGCAGUACAGCAAUGGCAAUCAGAAGGUAGAACAGCUGUAUGGCUGCACAUUCCUAUCCUCCAAAGCCGAUUUAUUGCCCCUGCUGCUUCCCUGGGCUUCUACUUUCACCACGCAGAAUCGGAUUCAUCAACGUUGACUCUGUGGCUGGGAGAAGGGCCCAGCAGAUUACCAGGAUAUGCUUCACAUCAAGUAGGAGUUGCAGGAGCUGUAUUUGAUGAAAGUACUAGAAAAAUACUGGUUGUACAAGAUCGAAAUAAAUUGAAAAAUAUGUGGAAGUUUCCAGGAGGCCUGUCAGAGCCUGAAGAAGAUAUUGGUGUGUAUCUUCCGUAUUUUUAAUUGGCUUGAAAAUGUUGAGAAAAUUAAUGUGUUCACUUUCUUGCUUUAUAGCUAAGAAUAAAAAGUUAAAUUUUC